rnacentral:pre_miRNA from 1 species
AUAGUACUCCCUCCGUCCGAAAAUACUUGUCUUACAAAUGGUUAAAAAUGGAUGCAUCUAUAACUAAAAUAAGUUUAGAUACAACCAUUUCUAAGACAAGUAUUUUCAGACGGAGGGAGUAGAUA